GACGGCCAAGACCUUCUGCCCUUGCUCCUGGGGACAGCCCAACACUCAGACCACGAGUUCCUGAUGCAUUAUUGUGAGAGGUUUCUGCACGCAGCCAGGUGGCAUCAACGGGACAGAGGAACAAUGUGGAAAGUCCACUUUGUGACCCCAGUGUUCCAGCCAGAGGGAGCCGGUGCCUGCUAUGGAAGAAAGGUCUGCCCGUGCUUUGGGGAAAAAGUAGUCCACCACGAUCCACCUUUGCUCUUUGACCUCUCAAGAGACCCUUCUGAGACCCACAUCCUCACACCAGCCUCAGAGCCCGUGUUCUAUCAGGUGAUGGAACGAGUCCAGCAGGCGGUGCGGGAACACCAGCGGACACUCAGCCCAGUUCCUCUGCAGCUGGACAGGCUGGGCAACAUCUGGAGACCGUGGCUGCAGCCCUGCUGUGGCCCGUUCCCCCUCUGCUGGUGCCUUAGGGAAGAUGACCCACAAUAAAUCUCUGCAGUGAAAAGCUGGAGCCCCGAUUCCUAAAUUUUG
rnacentral:lncRNA from 1 species